GCUGUCUUUCGAACAACAAACCAAGCGAUAUUGAUAGGAAGUCGCGUUUCUGCUGAGUUGCCACGUGUCGGCUGAAUUGUCAUUUUAUGUGUGUGUUUCUACAAUCAUUUUGAAAAAACAAAAAAAAAUCAUAGAAUUCACUUUUGAAAAAGCAAUUGAAUCAUCAUAUAAAUACGGCGCACAAUAUCACCACAGCCAUAUUAGCCAUCAACGAAUGUCGUCGCCAUCCCUCUUGUAAUAAGAAAUUUCACCAAGUUCCACCACCGCCACACUUUUACUGCUUCCUUCCCCCUCAACAAUCGCCACACGGCGUCGUCGUCGUAUCGUCCAGAAUCGAGAGUUAUCAGGAGCCCCUCCCCCUUUAACAAAAAAAAAAGAUGGGCCUGGACGAUCUAGCCGACCAAAUUGACGAUUAUAUCUGUGUCUUUGAAGGAGCCGGUGAUCUCACGAUGGACACACUCGUCAUGUUGCUUUUCGCGUCGGUCGUCGUAGUGAUAGCGCUAGUUUUUCUGACCAAGUUCCUGUACGAGAAGUAUGUGAAGAAGGGCGCCGGCGCGGCUGGAACGGCGUCUGGCGUCGAUUCGGGUGCAACGCCGGCCAGCUCGAUUCUGCUGCUGGGUGGUGGUGGUGGUGGAAGCGUCGGCAAAGAGGGUGCUGGCGGUGGACCGCGGCUGUCCGAACCGAAGGAGGUGCUGGCGUCCAAGAAGGACCUCCUCUUGGCGUCGGUUAAAAAUGGCGGGAGUGCUCGAGUGGGUGGUGGCAUUGGUGGAGGUGCAGCAGCGUCAUCGUUUGCCGGGGGUCCCCGGGGAGGGGCAGGUGGAAUCGGCGGUGGAUCUACUAUUGCUCGCAAACGAAUCUCCAGGAAGAGUCCCGGUCCCGAGUUGUCCCAGAAGAAGCGCCCGGUCGUUGCCCCGUCCAAUAUCAACGGAUCCGAUAUGCAAGCCUGCCAGUGGGCCGUCCAUUUGUUCCGUUGGCUUUAUUCUGAUCUGGUGGUCGUCAACAAGCUGCUUCAGGAUUGGGUUGGCACGGUGAAUGCUGCCCUAAUGUCUUAUGUCGAACAGCACGAAAUGAUAGUGGAAGUCGUCCGGGUACUGCCGGAAAGUGUGCCCCCGAACCUGUCCAGCAUCCUUUGCGAACCGACCGAUCAGCAGAACGAAGUGGAGCUGAUGUUCGACAUCGAGGCCUCCUCGCCAGUUCUGCAGAUCAAAGCAUUCAAGUCGACCAACCAGAAGACGGAAAUCUCGCACUACAAAGCCACCGUGUCCCGGUUGAAGUCCCGCAUGAGUUUGAUCAUCAACUUUUUCGCACUCAAGGGAGAGAUGAAGGUGGAAGGAUUCCCCGAUAUUAAAAUCCACCUGAACAGCAUCGGCCCGCUCAAGACGGCCAACGCACAGGACGAGAAGAAGCAGAGCGACCUGAUUAUCGAGCUGCUCACCUCGUCCAUCCGGGACGUGGUGUAUCCGAUCGAUUUCUCCAUUUACUCGACCUGCCCGAGACUGAUGGGCGAGGAACCGGAGGAAAUGAUGAUGCCCUUGGACUACUCUGGCUACGGGCAAUUCGACAACUAUCGUGGCUAUCAAGACGACGGCUUCAGUGCGGGCUUAUCAAUAGCGCCAAAGAAACUUCUAGUCAAGGUGGUACGCGCCGAUGGGCUGUUGGCGUGUUCACAACCGUUCUGCGUCAUCGAGAUGGACGAGCCAGCCCAGAAGCAUCAGAGCGCUGCCAAAAUGGGACCAAAUCCGCUGUGGGACGAAACCUUCCUUUUUGAUUUGUCGAACCAUUCUUCUGAACUUUUGUUCGAGGUGUAUGACUCCGUAGCAUUAGCCCCCGGCGGAUUCCAGAAAUUCCUGGGCCUCGGUCUGGUUGGCAUCGACGAGCUGGCUAACGGGCCGACUUCGACUCAGAUAUUGGAGCUGCAGCCGCGCCCGUACGAGACCGAAAACAUCACCGGCACACUGAUGGUUGAGUUUGUGUUCAUCGAUCCCCCGGCACCGGCUCCCAGGCGUCAAAACAUGCAGCAAUCCUUCCGAUCCAACGGAGAGUCGACCUUCGCCAGAGAUGGAACCGAACGAGUGACCACCAGCACCCCCAGCACCAGCCCUACCGGAAAGCAAACCUACCCCUCGGACCCGACGAAAGCCAACCCUGGAAGCCCCGCCAGCAUCAGCCCUUCCAGCCAACCGCCCAGUAUCGCAGAAAGACAGAAACGUUUCCAGGCGGCCAACACAAAUCGAUUGAAUAAUUCCUUCCUGAAACCUCCUCCGGCAUCUGGGUAUGGAAUGAAUGGUAGCCAUGACUACCAGCAGUCCGAAUCCAGUCCAGCUUCGCCGGCCCUGUCGUCAUCCACCGGAUCCCAGAGCUUUAGUGCUACCAAUCUGCUGAGCAGCAGUGCUCCGGAAAGUGUUACCAAACCGGACCGGAAGCCAUCACGGAACAUCUUCGGAACCCUGCGCAACAAGCUGUCGCUCUCUAAAAAGUCCAAAUCCAUGGACAAUCCCCAGUAUAGCCCGUCUUAUUCGGUGGGCGCCGGGCAAAUUCACAGCGCCUCGUCUACCUUGAGUCGAGGAUCGUCGAUGGAUCAGCGUUCUAGCAUUUUCCCCAACCUCAGGGGGCUCUCUCGUAAAUCGUCAAUCUCAGAAUCGUCGGCCAUUUCCGGCAUUUCGAACUCGAGCGGCAGAACGUACGUGCACGAAGAAUCGACCCUGCUGCUGGAAACACUGGAAAAUAACGUUCUGCGGCACUACCUGGUGCCCCUGGAGGUAGCCGUCCGGCAGAAAACUUGGAAGAGGAAAGGCAUCAAGUUGCAUGUCUACAACGAUCACACCUUCAUUGCGAAACACAUCUCCGGCGGUGUUCUGUGCCACGUGUGUCAUCGCAGCAUUACCAGGCGCCCCGGAAAGCAAGGGUACGAGUGCCGUGACUGUCUGAUCCAGUGCCACAAACCUUGCCACGUGCGAGCUCCACAGGCGUGUCCGAAUCCGAAAAUUCUAUCAAUGCAGCUAGCUACAUUGCCCGUCCUACGAGAUUAGAUCGUUUUGAACCCUUUCGAAAUCGUUGUAUCGAAAUAGAAUUCUAGCUUUCGUUGCGCUUUGUGUUUAAAAGAGUUCCCAAUUUCCAAGUUAAAAUGGCCUUUCUAGGGCAGUCAAAUCACAGCUUCUUCGAUGACAAACAGCCAGCAUUUACGGAUCAAUAAUGUCGCCAUAGUAAAACGAAACAAAACCUUACAAUCAUCAGAUUACAAAAAGAACCAAUUUUUAACCACUGUUGUAAGAAACCCAAGCCAAGUUACCAAACCUUGUUCAACGAAUUUCUAGCUUAGCUAAAUAGAACGGAGGUGCGUCAGGGCCGGAAAAAUUUUCCGAACGAUUGAACGUUAAAUUCUGAAGUAGUGAAGCCAACAUUACCUUAUCGACAGUCCUUUCCUAAUUCUGUGUUCCAAAGUGUCAUUUCUGAUUCUGUGCGUGUUUCCGAUUCUUCUCCCAUUAAUUUAUGUCGUCCCCUUACGAUUGAAUGUUUUUCCUCAGAAUUUAAUUUUCAAAAAGUGUUAACUGACCUGGCUAAUCCCUGUUAUGAGAAUUGUUCAAAUUGUUAGGAAAAUCUGUUACAUUGCUAUGAAACGAGUCAAAAUUCACUCUUCGCUUUCACAGUUACUACAUCGUUAUAAAAAAAGGACAAAACUUGCAUAAAUAUAAUAAAAAGAGAAUACAGAUAGAGCAUUCUUAGUAAGAUGCUGGUUGAGGGUGGGGAAAAGUUGAUGGAAUUGAACCCAGGUGAUUUUUUGAACAUGACAGAAA